UACGUAGGGCGCAAGCGUUGUCCGGAAUUAUUGGGCGUAAAGAGCUCGUAGGCGGUUUGUCGCGUCUGUCGUGAAAGCUUGGGGCUUAACCCCAAGUCUGCGGUGGAUACGGGCAGACUAGAGGCAGGUAGGGGAGAACGGAAUUCCCGGUGUAGCGGUGAAAUGCGCAGAUAUCAGGAAGAACACCCGUGGCGAAGGCGGCUCUCUGGGACGGUACUGACGCUGAGACGCGAAAGCGUGGGGAGCGAACAGG
rnacentral:rRNA from 1 species